rnacentral:rRNA from 1 species
ACACUGGGUUCUCAAGCUAACGCAUUAAGUAGACCGCCUGGGGAGUACGGCCGCAAGGUUAAAACUCAAAUGAAUUGACGGGGGCCCGCACAAGCGGUGGAGCAUGUGGUUUAAUUCGAUGCAACGCGAAGAACCUUACCUACUCUUGACAUCCAGAGAAUUCGCUAGAGAUAGCUUAGUGCCUUCGGGAGCUCUGAGACAGGUGCUGCAUGGCUGUCGUCAGCUCGUGUUGUGAAAUGUUGGGUUAAGUCCCGCAACGAGCGCAACCCUUAUCCUUAUUUGCCAGCACGUAAUGGUGGGAACUUUAGGGAGACUGCCGGUGAUAAACCGGAGGAAGGUGGGGACGACGUCAAGUCAUCAUGGCCCUUACGAGUAGGGCUACACACGUGCUACAAUGGUCGGUACAGAGGGUUGCGAAGCCGCGAGGUGAAGCUAAUCCCAGAAAGCCGGUCGUAGUCCGGAUCGGAGUCUGCAACUCGACUCCGUGAAGUCGGAAUCGCUAGUAAUCGUGGAUCAGAAUGCCACGGUGAAUACGUUCCCGGGCCUUGUACACACCGCCCGUCACACCAUGGGAGUGGGCUGCACCAGAAGUAGAUAGCUUAACCUUUCGGGGAGGGCGUUUACCACGGUGUGGUUCAUGACUGGGGUGAAGUCGUAACAAGGUAGCCCUAGGGGAACCUGGGGCUG